CCCCCGCCUCUUCUACUUAGCAAGAAAAAGCCCUAGGUCCCUCAUCUUCAUCUUCAGUAUCAUCAAACAUCUCGUUCAUCCUCUGCAUUAUUUCCAUCGUUCUUCCCUCUCCUCACUGAUCAAUACCCAAAAAACCCUAAUAUCAUAUCCACUCCUCUUUUCUCGCACAAAAAAAAAUCCCAAAACAUCACCAAAUACAAAAUUCCACAAAAUCGUUGUGACCAUUUUUGCUAGGGCUUUUUUCAAGAACAAAAACAAUCUCUCAUCUCUCUUAGCUCUGAAACAAUGGACGAUUCACCUUGCUUCGCCUUUGGUCACUUCUCCUCCAGCUACGUCAGACCUUCCUCAUUACAAAUCGACCAACGAUAAGCUAAUACUUAUAACAGAAUCGUUUCACUCUCAAUUGGGUGUGCGACUCCUCCAUCGCACUGAUGACUACGAAUGUGACUCUUCUACCACACCUGUGAUUGCGUCCCAUCUCACAUCCCUGGCCGCUACCUUAAUAGGUUUAUCUAUUCAAUUAGAUUUUUCUUUUUAGUUAGAAAUCAAUUUCGUCCCCUCCCCAGCUCUUCAUCUCUUCACUAAAACCGUUGUUAUCUAUCCACUAAAAUCUUCACGGUUUCUUCAAUUUCACUCCAAGGGUUAUUUGAUAGCUCUUGUAUGGUUUAUUCCCUAUACUGAAUCGAGAGUCAAAACCAUUGUGGUGGUUGUGGCGGAAUCAAAAUGCAGGAUUGAACCAUUGUAGCAGAGAGAUAGGGUUUCUGGAAUUUUAUCAUGAUAUGAAACCCAUAGUUUCGAUUGAAUGAGAAGCAGGUCCGAUUCUUCUCUUUCGGUUUAACAAAGGUAUGAUGUGCUUAUAAUCGUUCAUCUACAUUCUCUCCAGCGACACUCGCUACCUUUUCCUCUGUUUCUUCCUCUAACACCACUGAUUUAGGGCAAAAUCUCCACCAUCUUUAGUUCAUCCUCAGUAAUAUGGAUUUGUAAUCUCUGAUUUUGGAAGGGAGAGAUAGGGUUUCUAGAAUUUUAUCAUGAUAUGAAACCCAAUAACUAAAGUGAUGAGAAGUCAUGGGUAUUUUGGACCAUACGAGUCAAAGAUAUUGGAAGCGUCAUGACUUAUAGCUUUGGUGAAGAGGGCCCUGCCAUUGUGCAAUUGCAAAAAUGGGAAUCUUCUCGAUUGCUAGCAAACCUGGCACAGUUCCGUGAAGCUUUCCUUUCCCCAAUCAGGGAACUUAUAUUAUUGCUUUCAUAUCACCAUGGAGGGUUACUUCUUCCUCUAGUCAAAGGUGGAGCUGUAAGUAGUAUUGUAAGCUAUCCCAUGCUUUCUGAUAUAAAUUCACUUGCUUGGGGUAUAUGUGAAGAUUCAAAUAGUCAACAUAAGGGGGCUUUAUUUAGACAUUAUGACCCUUUCAAUCGACAAUGUGCAAGUGUAAAACUAAACUUUUCUUCUUUGUGACAGGUCUUGUAUUACCUCAUACGAGUGGAGUCAUUUACCACUCUAUUAAUUCAAUUACAAGUUGGAAAGUUUGAUCAUGCAGACAGGAUGUUUUUAGAUAUUCCUGCUAUUUGGAAUGAUGUUAUGGAGGACAUGAGUGACGUGAAGGAACUGGUUCUUGAGGUGUUUUACCUUCCAGAGAUAUUAUUAAUUGAUUCUGGUACCACACAACUUGGAGAUAAGCUAGAUUGUGUUAAGCUUCCUCCUUGGCCCAAAAACCCUGUUGACUUUGUGCAUAAGCAUCACAUGGCUCUUGAGAGUGAGCAUGUCUCUGUACAUUUACAUGAAUGGAUAGAUCAUUAAUAUUCUAAUAUCGGUAUAAGCAGCGAGGAAAAGAAGCUAUUUCAGCAAAUAAUGUAUAAACAUCACAUAUGAAGGGACUGUAGAUAUAGAUAAAAUCACUAAUCUAGUAAAGUUAUUAAUGGCUGCAGUUGAUGAGCAUGGUAUAGUUUAUGUAGUUCGUGGUAGUGACCAUAUUCCAGGCAUAAAUAACUCAGUUGAGAAGUGUCUACCACGGUUUCAACAAUUAAGGUACUAUACUUUGGUUGGGUGGGAGGUUGGAGGUGCUGAUAUCAGCCACCAGAGGCUUCAUAAUAAACUUUUUCCAGUUAUGCUAACAAUUGGAGUAGGGCAAUGGCUAAUUGCUGAUAGAUUAGAAUGUUUCUACUCCUAAGGUGAACAUCACUUUUUGUAGCUCAAUUAACCAUUUCUUGAUAAAUAUAUCUCUCUACCCACAUAUGUCAUUUUUUGUAUCAUCUUUGCCAGUGAAGUUUUAUUCUGAACAUUGAAACAAUGAUGAGCUGAAUAGGCCAUGUACAGUGACUUAGUUCUGAAAUUUAGUCUUAUGCCUGCCAUGUGUUUGACAUAUUGUCUCUGAGAGAUGAAGAUGCUUGAAAAAGUCUAAAGGUGACUUUUGAAAAUAACCAUUACCCAAAAAAUGAUCCAAUAAACGGAUUUUUUGAAAAAGGUCCUAUAGUACUUCAAGUAAAUUACAACGAAGACUACAUUUGACUCGAGAGAAUCAUAUUCCAAUUGUUGGAGGUGUUAGCAGCCAAAGAUGCUAUUGCAGUGUUGCAACCCCUGAACCUGUUAUUUCAGAAACUUCCUCCACCUCUAUAAAAAAGAGAAUUGUGUCUGGUGUCAAGCCAACAGGAUUUAUACACCAUGGGAAUUAUCUUGGUGCAAUAAAAAAUUAGGUAUCACUACAGGAUAAGUAUGAGACAUUAUUCUUUAUUGUGGAUCUCCAUGCAGUAUGUGCACUAAGCAUUUUAGGACAUCUGAUUUAUGCAUACUAAUCAUAAUUUUAUAUAUGCAUCACUUUGUUCCAUUUGUUUUUGUAACAUUAACACAUAUAACUCUACCUUAUGAUGUCCAACAACUGUCUAAAGCAACUAAAGAAACCGCAACACUUUAUUUGGCAUGUGGUGUUGACACCUCAAAGGUCUUUUUUUAAAAAUAAUUUAAUAAUAAUAAUUUAAUGUUGCAAACUGAAUUUACAAUGUGUGUAUACAAACAGGCUUUUGUAUUUGUUCAAUCUCAUGUUCGUGCUCAUGUAGAGCUGAUGUGGCUGCUCAGUGCUACCACACCAAUCUGUUGGCUCAACGGAAUGAUUUAGUUCAAAGAGAAAUCGUGUAAGGCGGGGAUGAAAAUGUUGGGGUUGGACUUUUGACCUAUCCGGUGUUGAUGGCUUCUGAUAUUCUUCUUUAUCAGGUAACCUUCUCAACAACAGCAUUCUACUUAAGCAGGUGAGUAAUCAAGAUUAAAGGAGACUUGUAAUCAUGUUUGGCAUUCCUUUCCAGUAAGAAACAGAGUUGUAUGAUUAUUUGUUAGUUUUAUAGCAAUGUAUAACCCAUGUUAGCAAUUUAUUAUUUUUGUUUAACAUUUGAAUGAUUCUUUGUAUGACAUUAUAAUUUGUGCAACUUAUUUUA